rnacentral:rRNA from 1 species
CGCAUCUGUGCAUGCAGCAUAUCAAUAAGCGGAGGAAAAGAAACUAACAAGGAUUCCCUUAGUAACGGCGAGUGAAGCGGGAAGAGCUCAAAUUUGAAAUCUUCAAGGUUUUACCUUGACGAAUUGUAGUUUAAAGAAGUGUUUUCUGUUGAAGUUUUGGUAAAAGUUCUUUGGAAUAGGACAUCAUAGAGGGUGAGAAUCCCGUAUUUGACCAUUAUUUUCAGCUGUGUGAUACACUUUCAAAGAGUCGGAUUGUUUGGGAGUGCAGUCCAAAAUGGGUGGUAAAUUUCAUCUAAAGCUAAAUAUUGGCGAGAGACCGAUAGCGAACAAGUACCGUGAGGGAAAGAUGAAAAGAACUUUGAAAAGAGAGUUAAACAGUACGUGAAAUUGUCAAAAGGGAAGCGUUUGACACCAGUGUUGUUUUUCUGAAAAUCAAUUAAAGAACUGUUUAUGCUAAGCUGUUUAGACUUUAUCAGCUAUCUGUUUAGUUUUGAGCUUUUCUUUAAUGCACUUUUCAGUUAACAAGUCAACAUCAAUUUCUUUUGCUGUAAAAAAGCUUGAGGAAGGUGGCUUGAGAUUCGUCUUAAGUGUUUAUAGCCUCUUGCCUAUGCAGUCGGAGAGAUUGAGGUCUGCAGCGUAGAUCCUUCGGGGCUAAAUGCAUUUGUGCUAAGUUAUAGCAUUUUAUAGACAACUUGUUGACUAUGAUUUGUCUUGUAGCUUACUCGCUUAUGUUAUUUUACCUACGCUUAGGAUGUUGAUGUGAUACUGCGAGCA